rnacentral:lncRNA from 1 species
GGUUUCCUUUGCUGUGCAAAAGCUUUUCAGUUUGAUGAGGUCCCAUGGGUUUAUUUUUGCUCUAAUUUCUAUUGCUUUGGGAGACUGACCUGAGAAAAUAUUCAUGAUGUUGAUGUCAGAGAGUGUUUUGCCUAUGUUUUCUUCUAGGAGUUUGAUGGUGUCCUGUCGUAUAUUUAAGUCUUUCAGCCAUUUGGAGUUUAUUUUUGUGCAUGGUGUGAGGGUGUGUUCUAGUUUCAUUGCUUUGCAUGCAGCUGUCCAGGUUUCCCAGCAAUGCUUGCUGAAUAGACUUUCUUUUUCCCAUUUUAUGUUCUUGCCUCCCUUGUCAAAGAUUAAUUGACCAUAGGUGUCAGGGUUUAUUUCCGGAUUCUCUAUUCUGUUCCAUUGGUCUGUCUGUCUGUUUUGAUACCAGUACCACACUGUUUUGAUGACUGUGGCUUUGUAGUAUUUCUUGAAGUCUGGGAGAGUUAUGCCUCCUGCUUGGUUUUUGUUUCUCAGGAUUGCUUUGGCGAUUCUGGGUCUUUUGUGGUUCCAUAUAAAUGUUUGGAUUGUUUGUUCUAGUUCUGUGAAAAAUGUCAUGGGUAAUUUGAUAGGGAUUGCAUUGAAUCUGUAGAUUGCUUUGGGUAGUAUGGCCAUUUUUACAAUAUUGAUUUUUCCAAUCCAGGAACAUGGAAUAUCUUUCCAUUUCUUUACAUCUUCUUUGAUUUCUUUGAUUAAAGUUUUAUAGUUCUCGGCAUAUAGGUCCUUUACCUCCUUGGUCAGGUGUAUUCCGAGGUAUUUGAUUUUGUGAGGUGCAAUUUUAAAAGGUAUCGUAUUUUUGUAUUCCUUUUCUAAUGUUUCAUUGCUGGUAUACAGAAAUGCAACUGACUUCUGAAUGUUAAUCUUAUAUCCUGCUACUUUGCUGAAUUUAUUAAUCAGUUCAAGGAGUUUUGGGGUUGAGUCCUUAGGGUUUUCUAGGUAUAGUAUCAUGUCAUCUGCAUACAGUGACAGUUUGAUCUCUUCUCUUCCUAUAUGGAUGCCUUUUAUUUCUUUUGUUUGUCUAAUUGCUGUGGCUAGGACUUCCAAAACUAUGUUGAAGAGCAGUGGUGAGAGUGGGCAUCCCUGUCUUGUUCCAGAUUUGAGUGAGAAGGCUUUCAGUUUUUCCCCAUUGAGUAUUAUAUUUGCUGUGGGUUUAUCAUAAAUGGCUUUGAUUAUAUUCAGGAAUGUUCCCUCUAUACCCACUUUGGCGAGGGUCUUGAUCAUGAAUGGAUGUUGGACUUUGUCAAAUGCUUUUUCUGCAUCUAUUGAGAUGAUCAUAUGAUUUUUGACUUUUUUUUUGUUAAUGUGGUGUAUGAUGCUGAUUGAUUUGCGUAUGUUGAACCAUCCUUGUGAACCUGGGAUGAACCCAACCUGGUCAUGGUGUAUAAUUUUUUUGGUAUGUUGUUGGAUUCGGUUGGCUAAGAUUUUGUUGAGAAUUUUUGCAUCUAUAUUCAUCAAUGAUAUUGGGCGAUAGUUUUCUUUUUUGGUGGUAUCUCUGUCUGGUUUUGGAAUGAGGGUGAUGGUGGCCUCAUAGAAUGUCUUUGGGAGUAUUCCUUCUUCUUCAACCUUUUGAAAGAGUUUAAGGAGGAUGGGCACCAAUUCCUCUUUAUAUGUUUGAUAGAAUUCACCUGUGAAGCCAUCUGGUCCUGGACUUUUAUUUGUAGGGAGUGAUUUUAUGACCUCUUCAAUUUCAUUUCUAGUGAUCGGUCUGUUCAGUUGGUCUGUUUCUGCUUGAUUCAGUUUUGGCAGGCUGUAAGAUUCUAGAAAAUUGUCCAUUUCUUCCAGAUUGUCAAACUUGUUGCCAUAUAGUUGUUCAUAGUAUUCUCUUAUGGUUUUUUGUAUUUCUGCUGUAUCCGUUGUGAUUUCUCCUUUUUCAUUUAUAAUUUUGGUUAUUUGGGUUCUUUCUCUCCUCUUUUUAGUGAGUCUGGCCAGGGGUUUGUCAAUUUUGUUCACCUUUUCAAAGAACCAGCUCUUGGUUUUAUUAAUUUUCUCUAUUGUUUUUUGAGUCUCUAUUUUAUUGAUUUCUUCUUUGAUCUUUAUAAUUUCCUUCCUUCUGCUGACUUUAGGACUUUUUUGUUCUUCUUUUUCUAAUUCGUUUAGGUGGAGGGUUAAGUUGUCAAUUUGGGAUCUUUCUUCUUUUUUGAGAAAGGCCUGUAUUGCUAUAAAUUUCCCUCUGAGCACUGCUUUCGCAGCAUCCCAUAGAUUUUGAGAGGUUGUGUCUUCAUUAUCAUUUGUUUCAAGGUAGUUUUUAAUUUCCUUCUUGAUUUCCUCAUUGACCCAUUGGUUUUUUAGUAGCAUGUUGUUUAGUCUCCAUGGAGUUUUUUCUCAUUUCUUUUCCUGUGGUUGAUUUCUAGUUUCAUACCUUUGUGGUCAGAGAAGAUACUUGAAAUAAUUUCUAUGCUCCUAAACUUGUUGAGGUUAGCUUUGUGCCCCAAUAUGUGGUCAGUUCUUGAGAAUGUUCCAUGUGCACUUGAGAAAAAUGUAUAUUCUGAUUUUUUUGAAUGUAGUGUCCUGAAGAUGUCAAUUAAGUCUAACUUUUCUAUUGUUGCCUUUAGGAUCUCUGUUGCAUUAUUGAUUUUCUGUCUAGAGGAUCUGUCCAUUGAUGUGAGUGGGAUGUUAAAGUCUCCUGCUAUGAUUGUAUUCCAUCAAUUUCUCCCUUUAUGUCAGUUAAUAUUUGUUGUAUGUAUCUGGGUGCUCCUAUGUUAGGGGCAUAUAUAUUGAUGAUUGUAAUAUCCUCUUCUUGAAUGGAUCCUUUUACCAUUAAAUAGUGUCCUUCUGGGUCUUUCUUUAUGGCUUUCAUUUUAGAGUCUAUUUUGUCUGAUAUGAGUAUUGCUACUCCUGCUUUCCUGUUUGUCCAUUCACAUGAAAUAUCUUUUCCCAUCCCUUCACAUCAAAUAUAUGUGUGUCCUUUACCCUAAGGUGAAUCUCUUGUAGACAACAGAUUAUAAGUUUUUGCCUUUUUAUCCAGUCUGCCACUCUGUGUAUUUUGAUUAGAGCAUUCAGUACAUUGACAUUUAAGGUGAUUAUUAAUAGUCAUGUAUUUAUUAUCAUUUUAGACCUUGUUUUCUAAUUGAUUCUAUGUUUCUCCUUUCUUCCUUUUUUUUUUUUUUUGGUUGGAUGAUUUCCAUUUACUUUAUGCUUGAGUAAUUUUCUUUUUAGUUUUUAUGAAUGUAAUAUUUGGUUUUGAUUUGUGCUUUCCCUGUUUUUUAAGUAUGUUAAUCCCUUCCUAUAUCUGCUUGCUUUAGCCUGAUAGUCAUAUAGGCUCAAACAC